UGGGAGGAGGGGCGGCGUGCCUAUACAUGCAAGUCGAGCGGAUGAAGAGGAGCUUGCUCCUUGGAUUCAGCGGCGGACGGGUGAGUAACACGUGGGCAACCUGCCUGUAAGACUGGGAUAACUCCGGGAAACCGGGGCUAAUACCGGAUAACUUCUUUUCUCGCAUGGGAAGAGGUUGAAAGACGGUUUUGCUGUCACUUACAGAUGGGCCCGCGGCGCAUUAGCUAGUUGGUGGGGUAACGGCCUACCAAGGCAACGAUGCGUAGCCGACCUGAGAGGGUGAUCGGCCACACUGGGACUGAGACACGGCCCAGACUCCUACGGGAGGCAGCAGUAGGGAAUCUUCCGCAAUGGACGAAAGUCUGACGGAGCAACGCCGCGUGAGUGACGAAGGCCUUCGGGUCGUAAAACUCUGUUAUCAGGGAAGAACAAGCAUCAUUUAACUGAUGGUGCCUUGACGGUACCUGACCAGAAAGCCACGGCUAACUACGUGCCAGCAGCCGCGGUAAUACGUAGGUGGCAAGCGUUGUCCGGAAUUAUUGGGCGUAAAGCGCGCGCAGGCGGCUUCUUAAGUCUGAUGUGAAAGCCCACGGCUCAACCGUGGAGGGUCAUUGGAAACUGGGAGGCUUGAGUGCAGAAGAGAAGAGCGGAAUUCCACGUGUAGCGGUGAAAUGCGUAGAGAUGUGGAGGAACACCAGUGGCGAAGGCGGCUCUUUGGUCUGUAACUGACGCUGAGGCGCGAAAGCGUGGGGAGAGAACAGGAUUAGAUACCCUGGUAUUCCACGCCGUAAACGAUGAGUGCUAAGUGUUAGGGGGUUUCCGCCCCUUAGUGCUGCAGCAAACGCAUUAAGCACUCCGCCUGGGGAGUACGGCCGCAAGGCUGAAACUCAAAGGAAUUGACGGGGGCCCGCACAAGCGGUGGAGCAUGUGGUUUAAUUCGAAGCAACGCGAAGAACCUUACCAGUCUUGACAUCCCGCUGACCGGUGCAGAGAUGUAGCCUUUCCCUUCGGGACAGCGGUGACAGGUGGUGCAUGAUUGUCGUCAGCUCGUGUCGUGAGAUUGUUGGGUUAAGUCCCCGCCAC
rnacentral:rRNA from 1 species